CAUCUAUGCUUGCAAUGAAUAUGCUGGCUGAAGUAAUUGGUUCUCUUUUGUCUGGAUAAAAUUUGUGCAGGUGGAUUUGACACCGCACAUGCAGCUGCUCGUGCUUAUGAUAGAGCAGCAAUUAAGUUCCACGGAGUGGAGGCUGACAUUAACUUCAACAUAGAAGACUACGAAGAAGACUUGAAGCAGAUGACGAAUUUGACAAAGGAAGAAUUUGUGCACGUGCUUCAGCGACAAAGCACUGGGUUUCCAAGAGGAAUUUCCAAAUAUAGAGGCGUUACCUUGCACAAGUGC